rnacentral:rRNA from 1 species
CGUGUAGGCGGUUCGAUAAGUCUGCUGUGAAAGUCCAGGGCUCAACCCUGGGAUGCCGGUGGAUACUGUCGGACUAGAGUACGGAAGAGGCGAGUGGAAUUCCCGGUGUAGCGGUGAAAUGCGCAGAUAUCGGGAGGAACACCAAUUGCGAAGGCAGCUCGCUGGGACGUCACUGACGCUGAGACGCGAAAGCGUGGGGAGCAAACAGGAUUAGAUACCCUGGUAGUCCACGCCGUAAACGAUGGGCACUAGGUGUGGGGGGUGUCGACUCCCUCCGUGCCGAAGCUAACGCAUUAAGUGCCCCGCCUGGGGAGUACGGCCGCAAGGCUAAA